CAUAUUAUUGGGCUAAAGCGUCGUACUGGCCGACCAAGUCUACCGGGAAAUCACCCGCCCAACGGGUGGGCGUUCGGUAGAAACUGGCCGGCUUGGAACCGGAAGGCUUAGAGAGUACUGUCCGGGGUAAGAGUGAAAUCCCGUAAUCCCGGACGGACUACCGAUGGCGAAAGCACUCUGAAGAAGACGGCUUCGACAGUGAGGGACGAAAGCUCGGGUCUCAAACC
rnacentral:rRNA from 1 species